AGCAGCCGCGGUAAUUCCAGCUCCAAUAGCGUAUAUUAAAGUUGUUGCAGUUAAAAAGCUCGUAGUUGAAUUUCGGGAUCAAUGCGUCGGUCGUGCCUUCGGUACGUACUAGCGUCAUUGAUUCCUCCCUUCUGAAGAUCCGUGAUGUCAUUAAUUUGGUGUUACGGGGAAUCAGGACUGUUACCUUGAAAAAUUAGAGUGUUUAAAGCAGGCUAACGCUUGAAUACAUUAGCAUGGAAUAAUGAAAUAGGACGUUCGAACCUAUUUUGUUGGUUUCUAGGAUCGGCGUAAUGAUUAAUAGGGAUAGUUGGGGGCAUUAGUAUUCAAUUGUCAGAGGUGAAAUUCUUGGAUUUUAUUGAAGACUAACUACUGUGAAAGCAUUUGCCAAGGAUGUUUUCAUUAAUCAAGAACGAAAGUUAGGGGAUCGAAGACGAUCAGAUACCGUCGUAGUCUUAACCAUAAACUAUGCCGACUAGGGAUCGGAUGAUGUUAAAUUUUAUAAUGACUCA
rnacentral:rRNA from 1 species